rnacentral:ncRNA from 1 species
CGCGAGCCUGCCUCACCGGGCUCCCGGACGAGGGGCGCCGUACCCGGUGUGCGACAAGACGGCCCGUC